rnacentral:lncRNA from 1 species
AUUAGAUUCUUCCCUCUUGUUUGCUCCCCUGAUUAUACCUCAAAGCUGCUAAUUGUGACAGGCAGUGGCUUCCUUAGGCUGAUGAGAGCGCUGGCUAAUGACAUCCUUAAGCCACUCUGCCAGCCUGGGGGCACGCACCUAUCUGUUUGUCCUUUCCAAUCAGACUUAAACCAGAAGGGCCAACGGGUCAAGGGGAAUGACUGUAACAGUGAAAACUGGAUCUCUUUCCUCUCCCUGCUUUCCUAAUGUCCUGGGUGCUGGCCCGGGGCUUGGCUUAUUAUAGACACAUAAAAUAGGCUGAAAUCCAGGUGGAGGGAGUUAUUGGUUGACAUCACUGAGGGGAAACUGGGCUCGGAUGAGGCAGGGCCCACCUGCUGCUGAAACCCAGAUUUACAGAAAGAAAGUUGCCCAGCAGGCCCUGGAUUUGGUUGCCUUCCUUUGCUAUUGUCACGGAUUGUAAACAGAUCCGUGGGUUGCUGGAGGCAGAUUGUCACAGAAUUCUAGAUGGAGUGUCAUGAAAAGGCAGAUAGAUUGUUGUGGAAUCAUGGAUUGAUUGUUGUACCUCUGAGGACAGAUUGUUGGAGAAAUGUAGAGGGAUUGUCAGGGAAUUGUAGAGGGACGGUUAGCAGAGAUGGAGGUGGAUUGUCGUGGUACUGUGGACAGAUUGUUGUGAGAACGUCCCCAUGCUAUGGGGGCUCGACAGGUCUGUGACAGCGGGCAGAUGGGCCUGUGAUCGAUGUGUUCCCCCUGUGCAAGGACAGCCGGAUGAAGGUGCAAACAGCCCGGCUAAUAGAUGAGAAAUGCAGAGCGGGGCUGAUAAGGCCCCAGCACCCGAACUGUGAUGAAUGGGGAAGGAUGCAGCGGGCUAUUUGUUUCCAAGAAAUGAGUGACUUCUGGGGAGAGAAAUGAGUGAGGAAGACAGAGAGUGGAAAAGAAGAGGCCAAAGGAGACACUUCCCUGAUUUCCUUGUUUUCUUCUGUGUGACAAGGAGCUCAAGAGCAAAGAGAAGCUCCCAAAGACUAAGCUACUUUCCAGCAACCCUGGGAGAUGAGGACAUGGAAACCCAGAACGUUUCAAUGAUUUUUCCAAGCUCAAACAGUGUACAGAAAUUGAGGCAGCCUGUUAUUGUGUGAAGAACACAGGAAUUGAAGUCAGAGAACCUGGAUUUCAGUUUUGACUUUGCUACAUAAGAAGUCCUGUGACCUUGUAAAGUUACUUUCCUUCUGUUAAAUAAAGCAGUUGGAAUAAUUAUUAUUUUGAAAGUU